UACCUCUUAUACACAUGGACAGAUAGUGGGUGCUUCUACUGUGCAUGCCAUUGCGCAUUGCAUUCAAUUUUUAGGCGCUAAAUGUGCACGUGACGCAAAAUGGAAAAAUGUCGCCACGUUGUUCGCAGGAGGGAGAAACAAAUUAAACUGAUUCUUCAAUAACUAAAGGGGUGCUGCUGUGUGUGCUUUACCUCAUCUCGAGUUUGUGACAAGGAGUUGGCAUCAAGCUGUCUGCUUUUGGAAAAGAAAAGGGGACAGACUUCCAAAUCAGAAGGAGCUGAAGGCAGGACAACAUAUCUUGUGACUGAGGCUGUAAUGGGCAGCUCCUCUGCAUUUGCUAUCAGGGUUAACAAAAGCAAUGAGUGACUGUUAUGAUGUAGGUUUCUUGGGCAACCCUGAUGCCGACUCUGGUCUGUGAUGUCGACUCUGAUCUGUGAUGUCUUGGGCAGUUGCUGACCUCAGCGUGGAACUGUCAUCCUCAAGACUGGAUAGGCUCAUCUUAGCAAAG